UGAGUACAGGACCCAGGAGGAAGGCCCAGC
rnacentral:piRNA from 1 species